rnacentral:lncRNA from 1 species
AAGACAGGGAUCGGCCACCCCCUCUGGAGCUAGGCAGACCAAAGUGACGGUUACUCUCCCAUUCUCCCACACUUCCACCCCCAGGGAGAAAAAGGUGAUGCUGGCAACUCCAUUGGAGGAAGCAGAGGGGAGCCGGGCCCCCCAGGGCUCCCGGGGCCCCCAGGCCCAAAGGGAGAAGCUGGUGUUGAUGGCCAGGCUGGCCCCCCAGGACAGCAAGGAGACAAGGGGGAGCCCGGAGCAGCUGGAGAACAGGGACCAGCUGGCCCCAAGGUACGUGCGUCUCACCCGGAGUCAGAGCACACAGCAUGAAGUGGCUGGACUCCAGGUCUUAGGGGGAGGAAGGGAAAGAGUCUUCUUCCUGCAGACGUGGCGGCUGUGACGG